CUCAUAUUUUUCCAUAUGGAGCCAUUUUCAUCGUCUACUCUUGAGCAACUUCACAUCCUGCCAGACCCUUUCUUCUUUGCCCUGACUUGGUUUUCAUUUUCCCUCCCCUUUCUUCUUCCUUGGUCUGCUACCAAAAAUAAGAACUAGAAAUAAGGGGAUUAAGUUGAUAGUCACAUGGACCUGUUUCAAUGCCUUUUCUCUACUUUCAGCCUACAAAAAGAAUAGGGCCAUGUUGUGUCUGUGGACCUUAGCAACACUAAAGGUAAGGACAAGAACCAUAACACCAGCCUCAGCAUGUGUACAUUUCCAGAAACUUACCUUGAACCAGGAUCAGGAGUAAAUCACAGCUUUCAGAUCCAUCUGUACUCCUCUCCCCAAAUUCGUUUCAUGCACGUAUCUCUUGUGUUGUCAACUGACUUUUUAUUUGACUUUUCAGGUCAGGCACUCUGCCAGCAGUAGCCAGAAGGAAAAAAAGAAAAGAGAUGCAGCCCAAACUCUCCAAGCAUGUGGCCCUCCUUGAGUACAUGCAUUUUGACAUCAGAAGCAUGUCAUAUAUCCAUCUUCAUAGCCUCUAUGACACCCAUGGAGUCUGGGUUGGCAGCCCAGUCUGUUGGCAGCCCCUAACAGAAAAUCAGAAAGGCACGGUACCCUACAUGCUGUUUGAUCAACUGAGACAACUCAAUAAAACCUAGUUGAUUGACGGCCACUUACUUCACUGAAUCAGUACCUGAGUACCAACCAGUCAGUGGUAGAGGAGUUACUCCAGGAGAACUACUGAAACCUGACCAACCAACAAGCAUUACUCCCCCAACCAAGAUACAUUGAAGUUUGAUGUCAACCCACUCUUGCCUUUGUAACUAACAUUAUUCCAAAGCAACGGCUGGCCCUAAUUCCUAUCUGAGGUUGGUGGCCUUAGAGAGACUGUGGCGAGUCAGUACACUCUUUAUUUUUCAGCUUCUUGUUUUAGUUAUUGAGCACUGACAUUUCCCCUCCACCAGGUAAAAUAAAACCUUUUAGCAACCUAAG
rnacentral:lncRNA from 1 species